GGGCACGUAGUUCAGCGGUAUGAACGCUCCCCUCACACGGGAGAGGUCGUAGGUUCGAUCCCUACCGUGCCCACCA
rnacentral:tRNA from 1 species